rnacentral:lncRNA from 1 species
CUGACCUCGAUCUCAUACCACGAUAUAUAUUCAAUAUUGCCCUUCACUUAAAUAUUUGAUCACCAUGGGAUCCAUCGUUAGUAGUAAGUGGUUGGUAGCAACAACUAAUUUGAGCAUUCUGUGUUUCUUCGUCCUGCUUCUUUGCCUGCAACAACCUGUUGCGGAGGCAAGGGUUCUGAAGUUAGGAUUGCAUCCAAAUUAUGGUGUUCCAUUCCACAUUCUGCGGAGUUGUUCAGGGGCUUCUUGUGAAACCAACGGAUCCACUCCUCCACCGUCAUGUUGUAACUCGUCCUAAAUAUGCUUUCUUGGGGCCGGUUCCAACGGAUCUGCUCCGUGUGCACGCGCGCCAUAUCCCUGAAAACUAGCUAGCUAGCUAGGUAUAAUAUAUAUCAGAAUGUAGAACAAUCAUGUAUUAAUGGAAUUAGACCGGCCGAGUGUGUAUUUAUGAAAAAUAAAUAAAUGUAAUCGGAUUAUUUGUCAAAAUAAAAAAGGUGGUGAUUUUGUUUUUUCAAUAGCAUCGUGGUGUGUAUUUAUGAAAAAUAAAUGUAAUCGGAUUAUUUGUCAAAAUAAAAAGGUGAUGAUUUUAUUUUUCAAUAGCAUCGUAGUGUGUAUUUAUGAAAAAUAAAUGUAAUUGGAUUAUUUGUUAAAAUAAAAAAAUGGUGAUUUUGUUUUUUCAAUAGUGGUGUGUAUUUAUGAAAAAUAAAUGUAAUCGGAUUAUUUGUCAAAAUAAAAAGGUGGUGAUUUUAUUUUUCAAUAACAUCGUGAUGUGUAUUUAUGAAAAAUAAAUGUAAUUGGAUUUGUCAAAAU